rnacentral:rRNA from 1 species
AUUGAACGCUGGCGGCAGGCCUAACACAUGCAAGUCGAACGGUAACAGAAAGCAGCUUGCUGCUUUGCUGACGAGUGGCGGACGGGUGAGUAAUGUCUGGGAAACUGCCUGAUGGAGGGGGAUAACUACUGGAAACGGUAGCUAAUACCGCAUAACGUCGCGAGACCAAAGAGGGGGACCUUCGGGCCUCUUGCCAUCGGAUGUGCCCAGAUGGGAUUAGCUAGUAGGUGGGGUAACGGCUCACCUAGGCGACGAUCCCUAGCUGGUCUGAGAGGAUGACCAGCCACACUGGAACUGAGACACGGUCCAGACUCCUACGGGAGGCAGCAGUGGGGAAUAUUGCACAAUGGGCGCAAGCCUGAUGCAGCCAUGCCGCGUGUAUGAAGAAGGCCUUCGGGUUGUAAAGUACUUUCAGCGGGGAGGAAGGGAGUAAAGUUAAUACCUUUGCUCAUUGACGUUACCCGCAGAAGAAGCACCGGCUAACUCCGUG